UAGGGAAUCUUCGGCAAUGGACGAAAGUCUGACCGAGCAACGCCGCGUGAGUGAAGAAGGUUUUCGGAUCGUAAAACUCUGUUGUUAGAGAAGAACAAGGACGUUAGUAACUGAACGUCCCCUGACGGUAUCUAACCAGAAAGCCACGGCUAACUACGUGCCAGCAGCCGCGGUAAUACGUAGGUGGCAAGCGUUGUCCGGAUUUAUUGGGCGUAAAGCGAGCGCAGGCGGUUUCUUAAGUCUGAUGUGAAAGCCCCCGGCUCAACCGGGGAGGGUCAUUGGAAACUGGGAGACUUGAGAGCAGAAGAGGAGAGUGGAAUUCCAUGUGUAGCGAUGAAAUGCGUAGAUAUAUGGAGGAACACCAGUGGCGAAGGCGGCUCUCUGGUCUGUAACUGACGCUGAGGCUAGAAAGCGUGGGGAGCAAACAGG
rnacentral:rRNA from 1 species